CUGGGUUUGACAUACGCCGGAAAGCUCUAGAGAUAGAGCCCCUUUUAGUCGGUGUACAGGUGGUGCAUGGCUGUCGUCAGCUCGUGUCGUGAGAUGUUGGGUUAAGUCCCGCAACGAGCGCAACCCUCGUCCCAUGUUGCCAGCAGCACCCUUCGGGGUGGCUGGGGACUCAUGGGAGACUGCCGGGGUCAACUCGGAGGAAGGUGGGGAUGACGUCAAGUCAUCAUGCCCCUUAUGUCCAGGGCUUCACGCAUGCUACAAUGGCCGGUACAAAGGGCUGCGAUCCCGUGAGGGGGAGCGAAUCCCAAAAAGCCGGUCUCAGUUCGGAUUGGGGUCUGCAACUCGACCCCAUGAAGUCGGAGUCGCUAGUAAUCGCAGAUCAGCAACGCUGCGGUGAAUACGUUCCC
rnacentral:rRNA from 1 species